GCUCAGGACGAACGCUGGCGGCGUGCCUAAUACAUGCAAGUCGAGCGGACAGAUGGGAGCUUGCUCCCUGAUGUUAGCGGCGGACGGGUGAGUAACACGUGGGUAACCUGCCUGUAAGACUGGGAUAACUCCGGGAAACCGGGGCUAAUACCGGAUGGUUGUUUGAACCGCAUGGUUCAGACAUAAAAGGUGGCUUCGGCUACCACUUACAGAUGGACCCGCGGCGCAUUAGCUAGUUGGUGAGGUAACGGCUCACCAAGGCGACGAUGCGUAGCCGACCUGAGAGGGUGAUCGGCCACACUGGGACUGAGACACGGCCCAGACUCCUACGGGAGGCAGCAGUAGGGAAUCUUCCGCAAUGGACGAAAGUCUGACGGAGCAACGCCGCGUGAGUGAUGAAGGUUUUCGGAUCGUAAAGCUCUGUUGUUAGGGAAGAACAAGUGCCGUUCAAAUAGGGCGGCACCUUGACGGUACCUAACCAGAAAGCCACGGCUAACUACGUGCCAGCAGCCGCGGUAAUACGUAGGUGGCAAGCGUUGUCCGGAAUUAUUGGGCGUAAAGGGCUCGCAGGCGGUUUCUUAAGUCUGAUGUGAAAGCCCCCGGCUCAACCGGGGAGGGUCAUUGGAAACUGGGGAACUUGAGUGCAGAAGAGGAGAGUGGAAUUCCACGUGUAGCGGUGAAAUGCGUAGAGAUGUGGAGGAACACCAGUGGCGAAGGCGACUCUCUGGUCUGUAACUGACGCUGAGGAGCGAAAGCGUGGGGAGCGAACAGGAUUAGAUACCCUGGUAGUCCACGCCGUAAACGAUGAGUGCUAAGUGUUAGGGGGUUUCCGCCCCUUAGUGCUGCAG
rnacentral:rRNA from 1 species